rnacentral:lncRNA from 1 species
CGCGUACCACCAUCUUCAAUCUAAAAACAUCUUUCCUCUCCCUCUCUAUACUGUCAUCCACUGGACCACUGCCACCAUAAAUCCCCAGGACUAACACUAGAAAAAAAGAAAGUACAUCCCAAAAACACUUCAUUAAAAACAAAACCCCCAAAUCACCUUCAAAUCUAAAUUUCUCCAUCACUCAUACACUUUUAACAACACUUCGUUGCAUCAAUGAAGCCACCACGGUUGGACAAUCCGACGGACAACUAUUCUCUCAAAAAUCAGGUCAACGUCGUCAUGGAUUUAUUUCAUCAACGUGUUAAAGCAAUCGUCAUAUUAUCCGAUUUUGGACCUGAUUUUGGUGUAAUGAAGUUAAUACCGAAAUGGGUUAAACAAUUUGGAGCUGGAUCUAUGGUUAGGUUUAUGAUUUUCUGUUGAUUCCCAUAAUGAUGAAGGCGACAAUGAUAAUUCUCGGUUUAUGGUUGAUGAUUGUGGCGUCAAAUUUUUUUGAUCGAGUAGAGGAUCUGGUGUUGUGUUUGGAUCUAGGGUUAUGUUUCAGAGAAAAGAGCUAUUUUCAAUUUUGGGCAUUAACGUGUGCUUCAUAUGGACGGAGACUUUGGGUGGACGUUUGGGUGGAUUGGGGUUUUGUGGGUUGCGUUUGUUGUUCAAAACACAAGAAUUUGGAGCUAAAGCAGGACUAAUUUUUCCAUUGUUAUUAUUAUUAUUCUGAUUCAAGCCACAUUAGAGAGACGACUUUGGGUGGAUGUUUCAAGGUGGCGUUGAUGGAGCUGGGCGGCGUAAGUUAUGGUGGUGUUAUAUUAAUGAUUUAAUUUUAAAAGUAUAUUUCUACUAUUAUAGUUAAUUAAACAAUAAUAUUAUAUUAUAUUUUUGUCCUUUUAAUUUCAUGUAAAAUGAUUUAAAUUCAUUACAAUUUGAGUCUUUUUAACACAUCAGCAAUUUCUGCCACGUGUUUGAGUACGG